CCGGAGGAAGCAGUGGAUCCGUGCCAGCCUCUGCUGCAGGAAGAGAGGCGAUGCCAGGCACAGUCCCAGGAGCUGAGGUUGCUCGGAAGGCUUCUCCAUUAGCUUGACUGCAUAAAGUUUUGAAGCCCUUGGAGUCUCCUGCAGAUGUGUCUGCAGGGAGGACUUUUCCUGCUCCUUUGCUGAUUCCUAUACGCAAGCCUGGCUCCCAUGGCAGGGGUCCUCUGAGGGGGAAGAGCAAAGGCAAAAGACAGAGGAAACCCCACGAGCCAAACAACAUCCUGAAACAAAUCGUGACAGAACUGCACAAAGGGCAUGCUAACCCGGCUGGUGAAAAUGAUCUGGCUUCCGAACCCACAUUCAGGAUUGAGUCUCUGGGAGAUGAUGAGGUGAUGGACCAAAAGGCAGGGCUGAAGGAGGUGUUUCCCCAAGGAAGCAGUGGCUCAUUGGCAGCCCCAGCUGCAGGAAGGCAG